CCUCUGCUCGGACUGCGCUGCUCCAUCCUGAAAAUUUCUUCCGCAAAUCGCAUUUUGCUUGAAAUACAUAGCAGGGGAUCAGAGAAUAUUUCAAACGGGGUUCAUAACUAAGAUGGCCAAGGAGCUAUUUCAAGGGAGAGCAUACAUGCAUUGGAGAAGCUUAGUCAUCUAAACUAGGUUAUCGGAAGACCUAAGGUUGAGUUAAUGUUUGAGGCUCAAAAGCUACCAACAGAAGAAGAAAUAAUAGAAGAGUUCACAUAUCCCUUGCUUAACUACAAGUAAUAGGUAACUUAUUGCAAGAGUGAUUGUUUAUACUUCAAGUUACCAUGACAUUGUUCCUCUUUGUAUAUGUUCCUUAGUCGACUCUAAAUAGUUUUAAAUAAAUUUUCUUUUGGAAUUUGUAUGCUGCAGUCAAAUUGGCUUCUAGUGGGUUUGUUUCUAAUUUUGUAUGCUUGUAGUAUAUGUCUAAGGUUUGUCGAAGUAAUAAUUGUUUCUAAGUGAGUAAGAUUUAUACAAGAUUUUA